rnacentral:rRNA from 1 species
AGCGAACGCUGGCGGCAGGCUUAACACAUGCAAGUCGAGCGGGCACUUCGGUGUCAGCGGCAGACGGGUGAGUAACACGUGGGAACGUACCCUUCGGUUCGGAAUAACGCUGGGAAACUAGCGCUAAUACCGGAUACACCCUUUUGGGGAAAGGUUUACUGCCGAAGGAUCGGCCCGCGUCUGAUUAGCUAGUUGGUGGGGUAAUGGCCUACCAAGGCGACGAUCAGUAGCUGGUCUGAGAGGAUGAUCAGCCACACUGGGACUGAGACACGGCCCAGACUCCUACGGGAGGCAGCAGUGGGGAAUAUUGGACAAUGGGCGCAAGCCUGAUCCAGCCAUGCCGCGUGAGUGAUGAAGGCCUUAGGGUUGUAAAGCUCUUUUGUCCGGGACGAUAAUGACGGUACCGGAAGAAUAAGCCCCGGCUAACUUCGUG